GCGACCCCAGGUCAGGCGGGAUUACCCGCUGAGU
rnacentral:rRNA from 3 species